GAUGAACGCUGGCGGCGUGCUAAUACAUGCAAGUAGAACGCUGAAGCUUGGUGCUUGCACCGAGCGGAAGAGUUGCGAACGGGUGAGUAACGCGUAGGUAACCUGCCUCUUAGCGGGGGAUAACUAUUGGAAACGAUAGCUAAUACCGCAUAAAAGUCGGCAUUGCAUGAUGUUGACUUGAAAGGUGCAACUGCAUCACUAAGAGAUGGACCUGCGUUGUAUUAGCUAGUUGGUGAGGUAACGGCUCACCAAGGCGACGAUACAUAGCCGACCUGAGAGGGUGAUCGGCCACACUGGGACUGAGACACGGCCCAGACUCCUACGGGAGGCAGCAGUAGGGAAUCUUCGGCAAUGGACGGAAGUCUGACCGAGCAACGCCGCGUGAGUGAAGAAGGUUUUCGGAUCGUAAAGCUCUGUUGUAAGAGAAGAACGAGUGUGAGGGUGGAAAGUUCACACUGUGACGGUAACUUACCAGAAAGGGACGGCUAACUACGUGCCAGCAGCCGCGGUAAUACGUAGGUCCCGAGCGUUAUCCGGAUUUAUUGGGCGUAAAGCGAGCGCAGGCGGUUAGAUAAGUCUGAAGUUAAAGGCUGUGGCUUAACCAUAGUACGCUUUGGAAACUGUUUAACUUGAGUGCAGAAGGGGAAAGUGGAAUUCCAUGUGUAGCGGUGAAAUGCGUAGAUAUAUGGAGGAACACCGGUGGCGAAAGCGGCUCUCUGGUCUGUAACUGACGCUGAGGCUCGAAAGCGUGGGGAGCAAACAGG
rnacentral:rRNA from 1 species